rnacentral:rRNA from 1 species
CCUACGGGUGGCAGCAGUGGGGAAUAUUGCACAAUGGGCGCAAGCCUGAUGCAGCCAUGCCGCGUGUGUGAAGAAGGCCUUCGGGUUGUAAAGCACUUUCAGCGGGGAGGAAGGCGUUAAGGUUAAUAACCUUGGCGAUUGACGUUACCCGCAGAAGAAGCACCAGCUAACUCCGUGCCAGCAGCCGCGGUAAUACGGAGGGUGCAAGCGUUAAUCGGAAUUACUGGGCGUAAAGCGCACGCAGGCGGUCUGUCAAGUCGGAUGUGAAAUCCCCGGGCUCAACCUGGGAACUGCAUUCGAAACUGGCAGGCUAGUGUCUUGUAGAGGGGGGUAGAAUUCCAGGUGUAGCGGUGAGAUGCGUAGAGAUCUGGAGGAAUACCGGUGGCGAAGGCGGCCCCCUGGACAAAGACUGACGCUCAGGUGCGAAAGCGUGGGGAGCAAACAGGAUUAGAUACCCCAGUAGUC